GGGGUUGUAGCUCAGUGGUAGAGUGUUUGCCUUGUUUGUGGAAGUCACUGGGUUCGAUCCUCAGCACCACUU
rnacentral:tRNA from 1 species